UAAUACGAAGGGGGCUAGCGUUGUUCGGAAUUACUGGGCGUAAAGGGCGCGUAGGCGGCUGUGCAAGUCAGAUGUGAAAGCCCUGGGCUCAACCCAGGAUGUGCAUUUGAUACUGCGCGGCUAGAGUGUCGGAGAGGAUGGUGGAAUUCCCAGUGUAGAGGUGAAAUUCGUAGAUAUUGGGAAGAACACCGGUGGCGAAGGCGACCAUCUGGACGACAACUGACGCUGAGGCGCGAAAGCGUGGGGAGCAAACAGGAUUAGAUACCCUGGUAGUCCACGCCGUAAACUAUGCGUGUUGGACGUUGGCCAGCCUAGCUGGUCGGUGUCGCAGCUAACGCGUUAAACACGCCGCCUGGGGAGUACGGCCGCAAGGUUA
rnacentral:rRNA from 1 species